rnacentral:sRNA from 1 species
GUGCUGCUGCUGCUGCUGCUGCUGCAGCUGCUGCUGCAGCUGCUGCUACAGCUGCUGCUGCAGCUGCUGCUGCAGCUGCUGCUACAGCUGCAGCUGCAGCUGCUGCUGCAGCUGCUGCUGCAGCUGCUGCUGCAGCUGCUGCUACAGCUGCUGCUGCAGCUGCUGCUACAGCUGCUGCUGCAGCUGCAGCUGCUGCUGCAGCUGCUGCUGCUGCUGCAGCAGCAGCUGUAGCAGCAGCAGCAGCAACUGCUG